rnacentral:rRNA from 1 species
GUUAGGAAUAUUGGACAAUGGGCGCAAGCCUGAUCCAGCCAUGCCGCGUGAGUGAUGAAGGCCUUCGGGUUGUAAAGCUCUUUAGCCGAUGAUUAUAAUGACUGUAGUCGGAAAAUAAGCCCCGGCUAACUUCGUGCCAGCAGCCGCGGUAAUACGAAGGGGGCGAGCGUUAUUCGGAAUCACUGGGCGUAAAGCGUGCGUAGGCGGCUUUGCAAGUUGGGAGUGAAAGCCCAGGGCUCAACCCUGGAAUUGCUCUCAAAACUGCAAGGCUCGAAUUCGGGAGAGGAUAGCGGAAUUGUCAGUGUAGCAGUGAAAUGCGUAGAUAUUGACAGGAACACCAGUGGCGUAAGCGGCUAUCUGGACCGAUAUUGACGCUGAGGCACGAAAGCGUGGGGAUCAAACAGGAUUAGAAACCCGAGUAGUCC